GACGAACGCUGGCGGCGUGCCUAAUACAUGCAAGUUGAGCGCUGAAGGUUGGUACUUGUACCGACUGGAUGAGCAGCGAACGGGUGAGUAACGCGUGGGGAAUCUGCCUUUGAGCGGGGGACAACAUUUGGAAACGAAUGCUAAUACCGCAUAAAAACUUUAAACACAAGUUUUAAGUUUGAAAGAUGCAAUUGCAUCACUCAAAGAUGAUCCCGCGUUGUAUUAGCUAGUUGGUGAGGUAAAGGCUCACCAAGGCGAUGAUACAUAGCCGACCUGAGAGGGUGAUCGGCCGCAUUGGGACGGAGACACGGCCCAAACUCCUACGGGAGGCAGCAGUAGGGAAUCUUCGGCAAUGGACGAAAGUCUGACCGAGCAACGCCGCGUGAGUGAAGAAGGGUUUCGGAUCGGAAAACUCGGUUGGUAGAGAAGAACGUUGGUGAGAGUGGAAAGCUCAUCAAGUGACGGUAACUACCCAGAAAGGGACGGCUAACUACGUG
rnacentral:rRNA from 1 species